rnacentral:rRNA from 1 species
UACGGGGGGGGCAAGCGUUGCUCGGAAUUACUGGGCGUAAAGGGCUCGUAGGCGGCCAACUAAGUCAGACGUGAAAUCCCUCGGCUUAACCGGGGAACUGCGUCUGAUACUGGAUGGCUAGAGGUUGGGAGAGGGAUGCGGAAUUCCAGGUGUAGCGGUGAAAUGCGUAGAUAUCUGGAGGAACACCGGUGGCGAAGGCGGCAUCCUGGACCAAUUCUGACGCUGAGGAGCGAAAGCCAGGGGAGCAAACGGG